UACGGGGGGUGCAAGCGUUGUUCGGAAUUAUUGGGCGUAAAGGGCGCGUAGGCGGCCAUUCAAGUCGGACGUGAAAUCCCUCGGCUCAACCGGGGAACUGCGUCCGAUACUGUUUGGCUCGAGUCCUGGAGAGGGUAGUGGAAUUCCCAGUGUAGCGGUGAAAUGCGUAGAUACUGGGAGGAACACCGGUGGCGAAGGCGGCUACCUGGACAGGUACUGACGCUGAGGCGCGAAAGCUAGGGGAGCAAACAGG
rnacentral:rRNA from 1 species